GUGGGGGUGAGGAAUUAAAGGAGUCAGUCAAAGAUGAGAAAGCUGUGUUCAUAUAGGUUGGCUUUAUAUGUUUUUGGUAUUAAAAGGGAUUCCAAGCCUUGUUUCUCUGGGCAGAGUCUCUACAAUGAACUUAAGCAAGCUAUCAGCAAAGGCAGUGCCGAAGUCAGAUAUUGAUUGCUGUUUCCCAUCAAUCAAAUGUUCUUUAUAUUAGAUACAACAAUAACAGUGUGCCUGUGUGUUUGUGUGUGUGUGUGUUUGU